AUGGUCGAAGGGUCGUUCGCAGACAUCGCUAACCUCAAGUUCCUCCUCCUCUGCUUCCAACAGAUGCCUGGCCUCAAGAUCAACUUCCACAAGAGUGAUGUGACAGUGAUGGGCUACUCUCCGGUUGAGGCCCGUAACAUUGCCAACCGCCUGAACUGCCGCCUUGGGUCCCUUCCCACCACCUACCUGGGAACACCCAUUAGUGACUCUCGGCUUACUAUUGCUGACUUGCAUCCAACUGUUGCCAAAUUGCAGACGUGCAUUGAACCUUGGCAGGGUCGGUGGUUGUCUAAGGCGGCCCGGAUGAUUCUCAUCAAAUCUUCGCUCUCUAGUCUCCUCUUGUUCCUCAUGAGCUUCUACAGCCUUCACGAGACCCUUCACCAUGAGAUCGCCAAAGUCCAAUCCCGCUUCUAUUGGGUCGGCGACAAUAACAAGCCGAAAUACCAUAUGGUUAGCUGGCCCGACAUCUGUAAGCCUCGGGAGCAAGGUGGCCUCGGUAUCAUGUGCUCGAAGCGCAUGAACAUCGCGCUCCUCUCCCGCUGGCUUUGGCGCAUCUCGCAAGGUCAUGGUGGGCUUUGGCUAGACAUCAUCCGGAAUAAAUACCUGCGUGGCCAACCGCUGGCCUUUUGUCAGCGGUCUGGGGGUUCUCAAUUUUGGCAGUCGGUCAUUCAGUUGCUCCCCGUCCUCUGUAUUGGGACCUCCAUGGCGGUCGGAUCGGGAUCUGCGACCAUGUUCUGGUUUGACUGCUGGGCAGGCGACUCCCCUUUCGUAGCUUGGUUCCCCGAUCUCUUCUCCAUCGUUGUCAUCCCGACGAUCUCCGUCGAACGGGCCCUUAUUGACUUAGGGCGUCUCGCAUUCCGGAGACCAUUUGGGCUCCGGAAGCUGCCGCUUGGCAGGAACUUCUAG
rnacentral:rRNA from 1 species